AUAGAGCUGCUGAAACGUCAAGAUCAGACCGAGGAAGCUUUCGGCCGCGUUUACGACAUGGCUGCAAGAAGACAGUUUUAUUUAAACCAUGCACACUGUCGCGCCUUCACAUUUUAGUUACUCAGAGAUUGUAAUUUCAGACCUUUAUGAUUGCAAGAGAUGGGGGGAAUAGCAAACAACAACAGGUCAGUUUUCAGACAUGGUUUUUUCUUUGUAUGUCCCCAUGUUUGCUAGAAAAAACAUGAAUCUAGAAUGAAGUGUUGACCUCAACAUUGGGAUCAUACCUACCCCCCUAAAGUUUCUUUAGUGGCUCAACAGCAGGAAUCAUUGGAGAAUGCCACCCUUGACCACCUAUCCUUAUAUCUCGCUGCUUGUUCCCUUUCACCCCCAACAUUGUGGUAACCACCUAAUACCACUCUCUCACAAAAGCUAGAGCAACUAAAGCUUCGUCAGUUCCUUGGGCAUCUUUAAAUACCACGUUAAGCUAUCCAUUCCCAGAAAGGCUUUCCAAACUCUUGUGUCUUGAGAGAUUUUGGGAAGUUCUGUUGGGUAUGUGCAAUAUGCCAUGAUGUCUUCAAAGAUUCCUUCAAGAUGUGGAGGAGAGGAGCUCUGACUCCUGGGUAGAGGCCAGGGGAGGAGCAAGGGGAAACCACGCCCAGGGUGCACACCCUGCGCCCCUGUCACAGCGUCGCCCACCCUGGAACGUCCCCGGAGCGCCCCUCCAUGCCCCCCCUUGCCAAUGGCUUAAGCUUCACUUAACUUGAUUCUUGGGGAGUGCUUCUAUUUGUAUUUAAAAUGAUUUCCAUCAAAAUCCCAUUCUUGUCAUGGAACUCUGCGUGUCAAUGGUUUCAUGGCUUCUAAGCAAAGAGCUUUUUGUUCAUUUUGGCAUCACAUGUCAAUAGAUGGUGUAUAAUUGUCAGGCUGUUAUCUGUGAUUGAAUGAAAUAGGAUGUCUUCAGUAUGUCCAAUGAAAUCAAACAAAGGUAACAUGGUAAAAAAAUUUUUUUAAUGAAUUUGGUUGCCUCUCUUUUAGACUCUGCCAAAACAAGUUUGUUUUUCAAUAUGUUUCUCAGUAAUUAAGGAUUGUUUCCUCUAAGAAUAUUUCAUCCAGCUGAUUGUGAUAAUGUUUGAUGAAAUACCAAGUGUGUUUGAGUUUUAAUUUUUGUAACUUCUUUAACUGGAAAGCAGUAUAAAAUAUUUUAAAUAAA